UAGUAUAAAAAUCACAAUUUU
rnacentral:piRNA from 1 species